rnacentral:rRNA from 1 species
AUGACGAGGAAGCACGCGGGCACCGGCGUCCUCCGCGCCCUCGUCGCUGUCGCGGCCUCCGUCGCGUCCGCCUCGUCCCGGACGCCCCCGAGGCGCGCCGCGCCCUACCUCGCCGUCCUCCUCCGCCGGGGCCGCGCCGAGGCCGCGGCGCGCCUCAACCGCCACCUCCGCCUGCUGCCUCUCCCGGAGUCCCCCGCCCUCCUCUCGGCGCUCCCCUCCGUCCGCGACGCCGUCUCCUACAACACCGUCCUCGCCGCGCUCUGCCGCCAGGGCUGCCUCGACGCCGCGCUCUUCCUCCUCCGCGUCAUGUCGCACGAGCCCCGCCUCGCCUGCCGCCCCAACGCCAUCUCCUACACCACCCUCAUGCGCGCGCUCUGCGCCGACCGUCGCGCGGGCCAGGCCGUCGGGCUGCUUCGGUCCAUGCAGGACUGCGGCGUCCGCCCCGACGUGGUCACCUACGGCACGCUCAUCCGUGGGCUGUGCGACGCCGCGGACGUUGACAAGGCCGUGGAGCUGCUGAAUGAGAUGUGCGAGAGUGGUAUCGAGCCCAACGUGGUUGUGUACAGUUCUUUACUCCAUGGGUACUGCAAGACCGGGAGGUGGGAAAGCGUAGGCAAGGUGUUCGAAGAAAUGUCUGACAAGGGUAUUGAGCCCGAUGUUGUGAUGUACACUAGUUUGAUCGAUAGCCUGUGUAGACACGGGAAGGUAACAAAGGCAGCGCGGGUGAUGGAAAUGAUGGCGGAGCGGGGGUUGGAGCCAAACGUGGUGACCUACAAUGUGCUGAUCAAUUCCAUGUGCAAGGAAGGGUCUGUGAGGGAGGCGCUCGAUUUGCGGAUGAAUAUGCUGGAGAAGGGCGUGCAACCAGAUGUUGUGACAUAUAACACACUCAUCACAGGGCUAUCUAGUGUGCUUGAGAUGGAUGAGGUGAUGGCGUUGCUAGAGGAGAUGAUGCAAGGUGAAACUAAAGUUAGGCCUGACUUGAUGACAUUCAACUCGGUUAUACAUGGACUUUGUAAGAUUGGUUGGAUGCGGCAAGCGUUUGAGGUCCGUGCCAUGAUGGCUGAGAAUGGAUGCAGGUGUAACUUGGUGACAUUUAACCUGCUAAUUGGUGGACUCCUUAGAGUCCACAAGGUAAAGAAGGCCAUGAAGCUGAAGGAUGAGAUGGCUAGUUCUGGACUGCAGCCUGAUUCGUUCACCUAUAGCAUAUUGAUAAAUGGCUUCUGUAAAAUGCGGCAAGUUGAACGUGCGGAAAGCCUCUUGUCUGAAAUGAGACGUCAAGGGAUGGAGCCUGAGCCAGUUCACUAUAUUCCUUUGCUUAAAGCUAUGUGUGAUCAAGGCAUGAUGGGGCAGGCUAGGGAUUUGUUCAAUGAAAUGUAUAUGAACUGCAAAUUAGAUGCUGCUGCAUAUAGCACUAUGGUCCAUGGUGCUUUCAAAUCAGGGGAGAAGAAAAUUGCAGAAGAGUUUCUUAAAGAUAUGAUUGAUGAGGGACUGAUUCCUGAUGCUGUGACAUAUUCUAUCCCAAUCAACAUGUUUGCAAAAUCUGGAGACCUGGCAGCGGCGGAGCGGGUGCUUAAACAGAUGAAAGCAAGUGGCUUUGUGCCUGACGUUGCUGUAUUUGAUUCACUGAUCCAAGGUUAUGGAGCUGAAGGCGACACCGAGAAGGUUCUUGAGUUAACUCGUGAAAUGACAGCCAAGGGUGUAGCACUUGAUCCUAAAAUUAUUUCAACUAUUGUCACUUCUCUUGGGGCAAGCAUUGAAGGGCAAGAGUUAUUGCAGAGCUUGCCUGGUUUUGAUAAAGAAAUAUCAAAAGGCGAUGCCAUUUUGCCCCAUGAUGUAAUGAAUAUGCUACAAAAACAAUGCACCAAACCUGAAUCCCCUGCUCCUUGC